rnacentral:misc_RNA from 1 species
GAUGAAGAACGCAGCGAAAUGCGAUAAGUAGUGUGAAUUGCAGAAUUCAGUGAAUCAUCGAAUCUUUGAACGCACAUUGCGCCUCCUGGCAUUCCGGGAGGCAUGCCUGUUCGAGCGUCAUCAAACCCCAUCGUGCAAAUGAAUUAUUUUUUUUGCGCGGAAGUGACGAUUGAGCGAGAAUAACAAAUCCUCUCGCACCUCGUCGAAAUGAUUGCGGGCGGAAUUUGGGAUCGGGUUCCUCGGCGUAGUGUAUCAAUGCAUAUUUAUGCAACUUGCCGCGGAGUUGAGCCUGACCCACGCGUUCUCGCCGUACAAACACCUCAUUACUUUACAAGUUUUUGACCUCGGAUCAGGUAGGGAUACCCGCUGAACUUAAGCAUAUCAAUAAGCGAGGA